GACGAACGCUGGCGGCGUGCUUAACACAUGCAAGUCGAACGGAAAGGCCUCUUUCGGGGGGUACUCGAGUGGCGAACGGGUGAGUAACACGUGAGUAACCUGCCCUUGACUUUGGGAUAACUUCAGGAAACUGGGGCUAAUACCGGAUAGGAGCUCCUGCUGCAUGGUGGGGGUUGGAAAGUUUCGGCGGUUGGGGAUGGACUCGCGGCUUAUCAGCUUGUUGGCGGGGUAGUGGCUUACCAAGGCUUUGACGGGUAGCCGGCCUGAGAGGGUGACCGGCCACAUUGGGACUGAGAUACGGCCCAGACUCCUACGGGAGGCAGCAGUGGGGAAUAUUGCACAAUGGGUGGAAGCCUGAUGCAGCAACGCCGUGUGCGGGAUGACGGCCUUCGGGUUGUAAACCGCUUUCGCUCAUGACGAAGCUUUGUGUGACGGUAGUGAGUAAAGAAGCACCGGCUAACUACGUG
rnacentral:rRNA from 1 species